rnacentral:rRNA from 1 species
CACGUGGGCAACCUGCCCUGAAGCGGGGGAUAACAUCUGGAAACAGGUGCUAAUACCGCAUAACAACGAAAACCACAUGGUUUUCGUUUCAAAGAUGGUUUCGGCUAUCACUUCAGGAUGGGCCCGCGGUGCAUUAGCUAGUUGGUAAGGUAACGGCUUACCAAGGCAAUGAUGCAUAGCCGAGUUGAGAGACUGAUCGGCCACAAUGGAACUGAGACACGGUCCAUACUCCUACGGGAGGCAGCAGUAGGGAAUCUUCCACAAUGGGCGCAAGCCUGAUGGAGCAACACCGCGUGAGUGAAGAAGGGUUUCGGCUCGUAAAGCUCUGUUGUUGGAGAAGAACGUGCGUGAGAGUAACUGUUCACGCAGUGACGGUAUCCAACCAGAAAGUCACGGCUAACUACGUGCCAGCAGCCGCGGUAAUACGUAGGUGGCAAGCGUUGUCCGGAUUUAUUGGGCGUAAAGCGAGCGCAGGCGGUUGCUUAGGUCUGAUGUGAAAGCCUUCGGCUUAACCGAAGAAGGGCAUCGGAAACCGGGCAACUUGAGUGCAGAAGAGGACAGUGGAACUCCAUGUGUAGCGGUGGAAUGCGUAGAUAUAUGGAAGAACACCAGUGGCGAAGGCGGCUGUCUGGUCUGCAACUGACGCUGAGGCUCGAAAGCAUGGGUAGCGAACAGGAUUAGAUACCCUGGUAGUCCAUGCCGUAAACGAUGAGUGCU